AUUGAACGCUGGCGGCAUGCUUUACACAUGCAAGUCGAACGAGUGGCGAACGGGUGAGUAAUAUAUCGGAACGUACCGAGUAAUGGGUGAUAACAAAUCUAAAGAUUGGCUAAUACCGCAUAUUAUUCACGCGGCCGAUAACGGAGUAGCUAGUUGGUGGGGUAAAGGCCUACCAAGGCGACGAUCAGUAGCGGGUCGGAGAGGACGAUCCGCCACACUGGGACUGAGACACGGCCCAGACUCCUACGGGAGGCAGCAGUGGGGAAUUUUGGACAAUGGGGGAAACCCUGAUCCAGCCAUGCCGCGUGUAUGAAGAAGGCCUUCGGGUUGUAAAGUACUUUUGUUAGGGAAGCGGUACCUACAGAAUAAGCACCGGCUAACUACGUGCCAGCAGCCGCGGUAAUUC
rnacentral:rRNA from 1 species